rnacentral:rRNA from 1 species
GAUGAACGCUGGCGGCGUGCCUAAUACAUGCAAGUCGAGCGAACAGAUAAGGAGCUUGCUCCUUUGACGUUAGCGGCGGACGGGUGAGUAACACGUGGGUAACCUACCUAUAAGACUGGAAUAACUCCGGGAAACCGGGGCUAAUGCCGGAUAACAUGUUGAACCGCAUGGUUCUACAGUGAAAGGCGGCUUUGCUGUCACUUAUAGAUGGACCCGCGCCGUAUUAGCUAGUUGGUGAGGUAACGGCUCACCAAGGCAACGAUACGUAGCCGACCUGAGAGGGUGAUCGGCCACACUGGAACUGAGACACGGUCCAGACUCCUAUGGGAGGCAGCAGUAGGGAAUCUUCCGCAAUGGGCGAAAGCCUGACGGAGCAACGCCGCGUGAGUGAUGAAGGUCUUCGGAUCGUAAAACUCUGUUAUUAGGGAAGAACAAAUGCGUAAGUAACUGUGCGCGUCUUGACGGUACCUAAUCAGAAAGCCACGGCUAACUACGUG